rnacentral:lncRNA from 1 species
AUCCAGUCUCAUAAAUCUAGGGAUUCACUGGAAGAUGCGAGUACUGACAUCAGACUCCAUAGUGAGGUCCAGAAGUCCCAUGUUCGUAUGGUCAAGACUUCAGCACUUUGCUGUACCCAUCCCUGCUAUCCAUCCCGCCACCAUUAACCCAUGAGGACAGAAGACAGUGAUUCAACCCUGAUCACAUUAUGAAAUGGAGGUUUCGGGGAUAGAGGCACGAGUGUAAGGGAUGCUGCAGGUGAGAGCCACCUUGUGUGCCCAAUCUGCAACCCUGGAGGAGCUGCAGACUCACUUGAGCCUGGAAGGCAACGUGGAUGGGAACUCUGGAGUGCAGAGCCAACAACUUUUGCACGCUGCCUUCAUCUCAGCCCAUUUUGACUUCACAGCUUCUUGUUCCUGUUUCAUAGAAGCAGACAGCAGGAAAGUUUGUUCCACAAUUCUCUUCUUUAUCUAAUAGAAUAACACGAAUCGUCAGAGAUUGCUACCUAAGCCUGGAGUUUCCAGCAGCCCCCAUCACUGCAUAUUCUGGUGCUGAACUGCCCUUCUAAGACCAGCCACUUAGGUCAACUCGUGGGCCUUUGUCGGGUAAUGCUGCUGGGCUCAAGGCAUCUAAGUGAGCCAAGACGCAACGCGCCUCCUCCAGUUCCCCGGCACUUUGUGGGAAAUGUGGCUUUCAAAUGGAUGCAGGUCUGGAGCACACCGUGGCUGGGAGGCAGCUGGCACCAGCCCAGGCAUGAAUGCGUGCUACCCCUCUGGGCCCCACUUCUAGCAGGUCACCCGGGUCUGUGUUGUCACCUUGAAACGUUUGAGAGAGCUGUGAGCUUCAGAAGGAAAAUCAGAUGCUAUGAAGAGAUGGAACCCACAAAGGCCAUCAGAUAUUCUCCUGUGGCGACUGUCUGUUUUAAACAAGGGUCACAGAAGAGAGGGUCCUUGGCCUCCAUCACUGGGUCUUGGACUGACCCCAGCCAUCAGGAACUGCGGAGGUGUGAGGCCUCCCAAGCAGAGUGCACAGGCAUACAGGGUGGGAGUGUGACCUGUGGUUAAAGGCCCUCAGUCAUUGGAAUUUUGUAAGAAUGGCCCCUGGGCACCAGGGGACCUGAUUAGGUGUCUCCACCCCUCACGUCCUCGUUGUUCUUGCCUGCCUGCAUGAGAUGUUGCUGAUGUGCACAUUUCUUCUGUUCCAG